GUGCUCACUUCGGCAGCACAUAUACUAAAAUUGAACCAAUACAGAGAAGAUUAGCAUGGCUCCUAGGUGAGUAUGACACACAAAUUCAUGAAGGUUCCAUAUUUUUU